rnacentral:rRNA from 1 species
GACAGUUUGGUCCCUAUCUUUCGUGGGCGUAGGAUAUUUGAGAGGAUCUGUUCCUAGUACGAGAGGACCGGAAUGGACGAACCAAUGGUGUUCCAGUUGUCGCGCCAGCGGCAUUGCUGGGUAGCUAAGUUCGGAAUGGAUAACCGCUGAAAGCAUCUAAGCGGGAAGCCAACCUCGAGAUUAGAUAUCCCUCUGUAUGGAAACAUACAGACUGAAGACCCCUUGAAGACUACAAGGUUGAUAGGCCAGGUGUGUAAGCAUAGCAAUAUGUUUAGCUUACUGGUACUAAUAGGUCGUGAGGCUUAGUCAC